AUCCAGAAGUCUAAAUGCAAACAAUACAUUUAAGCCCCAAAUUACAAUGAAAUGAAUUGAAAAAAUAAAAUUAAACCAAAACAUGCUAUAAAUUCGACUUACAAGUUCUCACAGACACCAAGCAUAUUUUAAGAUGACACGCAAAAAAAUAAAGAGGAAACAAUAUUGGUUAAAUGAGUAAAUGUUUAAGUUAAAAAACAUAGAGAUGCCCAACAAGCUUAAGCACUCAAACAUAAUAUUGACCAGAGUAAAGACAACAAAUGUGCCCAAAAACUAUAUUAUGUUCGUGGUUAUUCCAACAGAAUAGCAUUUUCACCUUUGCUAGAGCUGCACCCAGUACACACAUAGAAACACACCUACAUAUGGUUUUUGCCCACACAAAAGGCUAUGCACGUGUAUGUUUAAUAUUCCGGUAGUUAGAAGAAUUUCAAAGCAAGCGAAUCAAAACAGAAAGUUCUUGGCGUUCAAUAAAAAUCUAAGACUAUCCUCAACCAAAUAAUGAUGCAAAGCAAAUUAAGAGAACAAUGAGAUGGGAAACAACUAUCUCAAUCUAAGGAACAAAAACCCUAAGAGACUGAAACCAAAGCCUAAUCUGAUAAAAAAAUAAAGAAAGAAAGAAACGAAUACAGAGAUAAACAUAUGGAUGCUGAGAGGG
rnacentral:misc_RNA from 1 species